UACGAAGGGGGCUAGCGUUGCUCGGAAUCACUGGGCGUAAAGGGUGCGUAGGCGGCCUGUUAAGUCGAACGUGAAAUCCCCGGGCUCAACCCGGGAACUGCGUCCGAUACUGGCAGGCUUGAAUCCGGGAGAGGGAUGUGGAAUUCCAGGUGUAGCGGUGAAAUGCGUAGAUAUCUGGAGGAAUACCGGUGGCGAAGGCGGCAUCCUGGACCGACAUUGACGCUGAUGAGCGAAAGCUAGGGGAGCAAACGGG
rnacentral:rRNA from 1 species